GGGUCAGUAGGUUGGUCGUGCCACCGGUACGUCCUGGUCUCACUGAUUCCUCCUUCCUGAAGAACCGUAAUGCCAUUAAUUUGGUGUUGCGGGGAGACAGGACUGUUACUUUGAAAAAAUUAGAGUGUUUAAAGCAAGCUAACGCUUGAAUACAUUAGCAUGGAAUAAUGAAAUAGGACGAUCGAUCCUAUUUUGUUGGUUUCUAGGAUUGACGUA
rnacentral:rRNA from 1 species